rnacentral:lncRNA from 1 species
UUUGCCAUGUUGGUCUGUCUGGUCUCAAGUUCCUGGCCUCAUUGAUCUGCCUGCCUUGAGCUCCCGAAGUGUUGAGAUUACAGGCAUGAGCCACCAUUCCUGACCAGCUAUAUGUAUUUUAAAUGGCUUGUGGAUUUGUCAUAACUGCUCAACUUUGCCACUGUAAUAGAAUCCACACUAACCACUUCAUAAUCCUUCUUAAGGACAACCAUGUCCUGGUGGGCCUCGGAAAACUCUCCUUCCUCCACCCGUUCACCCACGGAAUACUGAACAAAGGAACUUGGCAUACAUCAGGCUACUCAAGUGAAGCAGUAGAAGUGGACAAGGAACAAAAAAAUCUACUCACAGCUGGAGAAAAUUUGUGUCAAGAUGAAUCAUGUUUUGAAUCUUCUCUCAUGUCAGAUUUAGAUAACUGUUUGGACUAUGGACCUCUUAGUUGAUGCUGGAAAGUGUUAAGAUUUUGGGGACUAUUAAGGUGAAAUAAAUGUAUUUUGCAUGUGAGAAAGACAUUAAUUUUGGGGGCUGUGGUGGAGAGCUAUGGCUUGAAUGUGUCCCCUAAGAAGCAUGUGUUGGAAACUUAAUCCCCAGUGCAACAGUGUUGGAAAGUUGGGCGUAAGAAAAGAUGUUUAUGUCAUAAGGGCUCCACCCACAUGAAUGCAUUAUUACUGAUUGUUAAAAGGCUUGAGGCUGCAAGUUUGAUCUCUCUCAUACACAAGCAUAUGUGGUUUCUUGCUCUUCUGUCUUUCACCAUGGGAUGGCUCAGUGAGAAGACUCUAACCAGAUGUAGGCCCCCUUGACUUUGAACUUCUCAGCCUCUCGAGCUGUAAGAAAUAAAUCACUGCUUUUUAAAUAAAUUAUCCAGUUUCAGAUAUUCUUUUGUAGCAGCAAAAAAUGGACUAUGACAUGGAGCUUUAAGAGACAUCUGAUAAAAAUAAAAUUUAAGUGAAAACGUGGGCAGAUAGGAUGAGAACCUGUCCCAUGAAAAAACCCUGUGUAGUCACUAGGUGAGAGAAGAAAUUCAGAACACCAUGUCUUCACUCUAUAUGUGUACAUCCUAGAGAUGAAGAAUUAUAGAUUAAAAAACCAAAAUUACUAUUUAAUUAUUUUGUAUAACAAAAUGAGACACUACCAUCACUUUUUGAGACACUUAUAUCUAUGUCAACCAAAAAGCAAAUCCCAAUUUUUCCUCCCCAUACAACAGACCAUCACAUAAACUCCGCCCUGUGAGGGCCCAGGCCAUCUAAUUACAGCAUUGCAGCUAUCACAACUAAGCCAAGUAUCUCAGGAGAAAAAAAGCUACCUGUUUCUAGCCACACAAUUAAGCCAUGUAAACACAUGUCAUACUUUGUGUCAAAGCAGUGAUAGUAUCAGUUACUUAGAGAUGAAUAACUGGUGCUUGGGACUGGAGCAGCCUUGAGACAAGAAUAUCACUCAUCAGUCCCAAAGAAAUGGCAGAGGAGGAACCAUGGCUGGAAAAGCAGACGCUAUAGUGGAAGACAACCUUUUAGGCUUCCUCAAAAGCCUGGAGUUGGGGUAUCUUGCUGGUAAUUGAAAUUCCUAUGUAAAAUGUUGGAAUAAAGAAUAAAGUUAAUUUGGGUGUGUUCUAUUUUUUCCACAUAAACUUGCAAGUUAGACCCACAGUUUUUGCUUAUGUAUCAAUGUUAUAAUAUGCUACUUUAACACUAGUGCUAGUUUAUUAAUCCUAUGAGUUCAACUGUGUAAUUUUCAUUUUUUUGCUGUGUUUUGUAGGAUUUUAUGUAGUUUAAUGUUUUCCUCCAUAUCUGAAAUAAAAUUUAAAAAAGUGUG